GGAGAAAGAGUGGGUUUAAGCCCAAGUCCUAGCCCCCUAGUUUGGGAAUCCCAACAGUCAUGGGGAGUUGGAGAGAACAUCAGUAUUGUCCUCCUUGACGGUGAUGGAAAUGAAACUGCAGAAGGAAUGAUCAUGUAUCUGGAAAGAGGAGAGGGUGAUGGAGAAAUAGAAGAUGCAGAGGAAACAAAACUAGGGAUUCAUAGUCAGCAGAACGAGAGCCGCAGCUGUCCCAUAAUGUAACCGAAUCCCCAGAAUUGAAAGUUGCUUCAGAGAUGUUUGGCUUUGCCCUGAGAGUUGAUGCCAUCACUUUCCUUCACACUCCUUGACUUCAAGGACAAGAUGACUUGUGAGCUCCUAACAGCCAACUGGUGAAAGACUGUGUGCAAUUACCAGCAGUAUUAGGGCAGGUGAUAUCAUCUUGAUUAUGAUUAUCUUGGAGUCACGUCUAAGAGCCUUAAGAGACCUUUCAUUUUGUAGCUUGCUAAGAACAAGUAAGAGCCUCAUCUUGUUAAAUUAGAAGAGCAGUAAACUGUGCUGCCUUAUUCAGUCAAAUGCCAGGUCCCUGCUUGACGGUGUUGCUUUUUUUGCACAUAGCGCAGCCUUUUGCAAAGAAGUUGGUAGAGCUCUUCGCUCCUCUGUGGACCAAGAUAUUCUUCCUCCGUGUAUCCAAACAAACAGCCUAAAUUUGUACUCAGGCUGGAAUUCUAGCCCUCCUCAAUAAGCUUGGGAGAUUUUCCAACAAAUAUGCCAAAUUAAGAAAUUCCUUUUGCCCCAAUAUAUAGUAGCCAUAUACUACUUGCUUUCUCUCUUUUCAACAGAAGUAGCCAUAAUAUAGCAUGCUGGUGAUUUGCCUAGAAGUUGCCUAAAGCUGUGGUGGUUUGCAAUAGGAGAGAAAGAGAGACAGGGAGAUCUUUCAUUGUGCUGUCAUUUGCAGAAUGGGACUGAAGAAAUGCCCAGGAAGGAAGGUGAGGUGUCCAUCAAAUACAGCACUUCAUUUGAACCCUUUCCAACAACAGUGGGAAGAGAGGUGCACUCUAAAACUCAGAAUUAUUUAGGACUCUUGUAUUAAUUAACAGUCAAAGAAUUAUUCUAUUGCUACCAGCCUCAAUUUAGGAUAGGGUUUUUGAACACAGUAUUUUUUCUGGGAGGGUUCCUUUCAGCUGGAUUUCUUCAAUAGCGAUUUUUUUAGAUGGUUAAAUUAUUAAUGCCGGUGGCUUCUGAUAUUUUAGCAGAUCUAAACAGUUUGUUGUGGUACUUGCUGUUUAGGUACUUCUAGUUGUGUGUAGGGCUUAUUAAAGACACGUAUCUGGUAAACGCUUGCUUUCUAUUAAAGGUAUCUCCUAUUCA